AAUUAUACUGGUAAAAGUCCUAAUGUGGAUGCAGUUAUUCUGGUAUAAAGGUGUCUUAUUCCACUAUAGUUAUUUCCCUUCUUGUAUGGAAAUAGCUACACUUGUAUAAAGCAUCUUUAUAUCAGUAGAGCUGACCCUACACUGGGGUGUUGUAUUGCUUUAAACAUUAGAAGUAUAUUAAAGUGGUAUAACUUUCUAGUGUAGACUGUAAGUUUUCCUGGGUGCUCAGCACAACGGGGUCCUGAAGCUGAUUAGGCGUCUGGGCCUUACUUUGUAAUAUAAAUUGAAAUAGUUAUCAUGCUAUAGUACUGUGCUUCUAUUUCUAUGCAGUACUGAGAAUCAGAAUUGUGGACUUUGGUCAUUAUUUUUUUUCCUAAUAUUGGCCUUGAGUGUUUUUUUAAGUUUAACUAGUCCAAUGGAACCAAUAUGAUCACCUAUAGACCCCUCUGAAUCAGAUCUUGGAAAACAGAAGUUCAGGCAUGCACCUCCAUAGCCACUCAGCCCAAACAGCUACCACACUCUUGGACAGGUAGGUUUCAGACAUAGUCAUCAAAAGAUACUCCAUAGACUAUUAGAGUUCCCUUCCGCAAUGGAUUUUUUUUCUAGCUCUGUGUCUAAGAGCCCAACAAAAUGUGCUUAGAUGGUAAAAGCAAUGGUAACCAGCCUCAAGGAAUAAAGAGAACAAAAAAAAUAUGUUUCUUCUCUUCCUAGUCUUGAAUAUUCAGGAGGGAUGAGAGACCAUAUGGAUCCAAAAGAUGUUUGAAGGCUGCAUUGUUCACCUUUGCCACCAGAGGGCAAUAAACAAUACUUCAUAUUUGACCUGAACCUGCAGAUGUUCAGCUUCUCCAAGUCAGGCUUUUUUUAUUAAAUCUUAAAAUGAACUAUGGUUUUACUUAAUUUUUAGUAUCAGUAAUAGAGGCACUUCUAAAAUUUCUGUGGACUCUCUCCAUGAAGAUCAGGUCCUCAGACACAUCUGGUAUCAUCUUUUCCACUAUCCUCAUCUCAAAAACCUGAAUAGUGAACCUGAUGCUGUGAGGAGUUGAGUCCUCAUCUUUCUUUGAAGUCAGUGGCACUUGAAGCACUCAAUACUUUGUAGAAUUAGACCGAAGAUUCCAAAUACACAAACACAUUUGUGUUCUGAUUUUCUUGUACUUCCCACCUUCUGUUUUAGUGGUUUAUUUCUUUCUGUAGGAAGUUUACAGUAAUGAGAGAAGAAAUAUUAAAUAUGGUGACACAGAUCAUAUUUUAACAAGUACAUGGAAAAACAUUCUUUAGAAUUUUCAGGUAAAAGGCUUAAUUUAAAUUGCAAUUUUCAUUUAUAAAACAAAUAAUCUUUUAAUCCUCCUAAAUUUAAACAGUUCAAAUUUCCAAUGGCAAAUGUCAGUUCUCACUUACAUUUUUACCUGUUCUAAACUUCAAAGAACUAUUGGGGGGGGAAAAAUCAUUGUAUCCCAUGUCCUGUAAUGUUUAAAAAUGGUUCUGUCACAGUUAGUUAAAGUCAAUCCUCUGUGGAGCAGCAAUGGAAGAAAGAUAAUGUUUGUUUGUUUAAUUAAAAAAUAAAACUUCUCCCAAAAGAAUAUUAAAAAGUUAUUUGAGGUGCUCAUUUAUUUUAUUUCCUGAUGAUUUGACCAUCAUAAGAAUGGCCAUACUGGGUCAGACCAAUGAUCCAUCUAGCCCAGUAUCCUGUCUUCCAACAGUGGCCAAUGCCAGGUGCUUGAGAGGGCAGAGGGAAUAAACCAGAACAGGUAAUCAUUAAGUGAUCCAUCCAAUUUUCCAUUUCCAGCUUCUGGCAAACAGAGGCUAGAGACACUUCAGAGCAUGGUUUUGUCUCCCUGCCCAUCCUGGCUAAUAGCUAUUGAUGGA